GAUGAACGCUGGCGGCGUGCCUAAUACAUGCAAGUCGAGCGAACAGACGAGGAGCUUGCUCCUCUGACGUUAGCGGCGGACGGGUGAGUAACACGUGGAUAACCUACCUAUAAGACUGGGAUAACUUCGGGAAACCGGAGCUAAUACCGGAUAACAUGUUGAACCGCAUGGUUCAACAGUGAAAGACGGUCUUGCUGUCACUUAUAGAUGGAUCCGCGCCGCAUUAGCUAGUUGGUAAGGUAACGGCUUACCAAGGCAACGAUGCGUAGCCGACCUGAGAGGGGGAUCGGCCACACUGGAACUGAGACACGGUCCAGAGUCCUACGGGAGGCAGCAGUAGGGAAUCUGCCGCAAUGGGCGAAAGCCUGACGGAGCAACGCCGCGUGAGUGAAGAAGGUCUUCGGAUCGUAAAGCUCUGUUAUUAGGGAAGAACAAAUGUGUAAGUAACUAUGCACGUCUUGACGGUACCUAAUCAGAAAGCCACGGCUAACUACGUG
rnacentral:rRNA from 1 species